rnacentral:tRNA from 1 species
GUCUCCGUGGUGCAACGGUAGCACACUCGGCUCACAUUCGAGAGGUCCAGGGUUCGAGUCCCGGCGAGGGCA